GGAAUAUUCCACAAUGGGCGAAAGCCUGAUGGAGCGACGCCGCGUGAGUGAAGAAGGGCUUCGGCUCGUAAAGCUCUUUUCUAGAGGACGAAUGGCGCAUUGGAUGCGCAGGGACGGUACUCUGGGAAUAAGCCACGGCUAACUACGUGCCAGCAGCCGCGGUAAUACGUAGGUGGCAAGCGUUGUCCGGAAUUAUUGGGCGUAAAGGGAGCGCAGGCGGGACGGUAAGUCCAAAUUAAAAGUGCAGGAGUAAUGCCUGUGAUGGUUUGGAAACUAUCGUUCUUGAGAGCAGGAGAGGCAAGCGGAAUUCCCAGUGUAGCGGUGAAAUGCGUAGAUAUUGGGAGGAACACCAGUGGCGAAGGCGGCUUGCUGGACUGUGUCUGACGCUGAGGCUCGAAAGCCAGGGUAGCGAACG
rnacentral:rRNA from 1 species